AAUUAUAUUUCAGGUGCCAAGCUUACUCAUACCUCAAAAAAUAUAGCAAAGGAGUUUGUUACAGGAGGUUUCAUUGUUGAGCUGAUUAAAUAUUGCACUGUCAGUGCCUCUUUAUCGAACAUCAAUCAAUUAUAGCCAACUAAUUAAGCUAUCUUCAGUUACCACAGUUUACUACUAAGUAUUGUUUUACACAACUUACAACACUGUUGCUUUUCCAAUAUAUGUACAAUCAGUUUAGCAUGACAUGAUCUAUUUAGGCAUUUAAUUGUUGAGACAUUUAAAAAUUAAUCACGAUCCUUCCAACUUGGAAUGAAUUUUGCAGUGCAAGAUGGUGUAAAUUAUCAGUUUUCCAAGUUAUUGAUGAGAUAAGAUGCUAUAUUAGUUAUAGCCACAAAAACAAGAACAAACAAUUCCUGCUGCUUGCUAAAAUCUUAGGCCGUAAGGAGAUUGUCAGUGUUGAUUUGUUCACUUUGUAUCUUUACCUAAUACCCUCUGCUAUUUUCUUGGGUUUGCUGUUACAGCUUCAUACACCAGUGUUCGUUCCUGAUAUGAAUGAAUGAGGAAAGUGUUGAUCACAUUGAAAUAACUCCAACUCAUGAAGAUACAUCAGCUGAAAAUGCAAAUAUAAGAAGUACAAUAAGUUCUGUUGCCCCCUAAAUACAAAACUUAGAUAGCAUAAGAAAAUAAACAAAAUAGAUCUUUGUAGUUUAUUUUUGGCAGUUUAUAUUCACAGUUAUUUAUCAGCUGUUAUGUGAAUUUCAUUUAUGACCUUUUAUGGCAACUCAAGGCAAAAAUUCUUCCAACAAUUUGAAGAUACUCGAGGACAGUUGACAUGAAAGUAUAAGCGGAUCAUUAAUGACUGCCUGGAGGUUUUGGUGAAAUACUGAUUCAUUCAAGAGCGUACUUUUGUAAACGACUCCGGAUCAGACUCCCAACAUGUGGCACAACUAUUUUUAGCAAUUGAAAGCAAUUUCUGAAAGUUUUUAUGUACAAAUAGAAGAGGAAUGUAAUGUACAAUUCUUUAAACUGUAGAGUAAUGUAUUGUCAUAUCAAGUACAUUUAACAACGGAGUAACUUUCAAAUUCUCUUUUGCAAAAAAACUCGCUCAUAUUUCAGUGAUAGUUUUUUUUUUGUUUUUUUUUAAGGUGUUUAUCAUACAUUGCAU
rnacentral:lncRNA from 1 species